rnacentral:lncRNA from 1 species
CAUACGAGAGAUCACUUGGAUUUAUACUCGAUCGUCAGUGAUUGUCUCGAUGUUGUAGUUGUGUAAAUGGUCCUUUAACUUGCAAUAGUAUGACUGCUUGUAGUGAGGCUGCUGAAUGCUGACUGACACAUAAAUAUGAUCUCAGUGAGCUCUUGUAGUGGAUGUUGAUGACAGUUGAUCCACUGUAGGAGUAGAAUAUGCAUCA